UCCCUGAGACCCUAACCUGUGACGGAGUGAAAGGUCAUGGGUCAGUCUCUCGGGAGCC
rnacentral:pre_miRNA from 1 species